CUGAUAUAAUUGUUAAACGGCAUACUGGCCGUAGCAUGUAUAUGUCGCUGACUACUAUAUUUCUACGUUACAUAGUUCAAAUUAAGAGCCCACAGCACAUCAUCGUCGUCAACAGGCCUGCUGACAUCGUUGGAUCAUACUAAAGUAGGAGCAAAAGAACCCACGCCCCUUCCCUGAGCACGGUCG